rnacentral:rRNA from 1 species
AUUGAACGCUGGCGGCAGGCCUAACACAUGCGAGUCGAGCGCGAAAGUCUUCGGAUGAGUAAAGCGGCGGACGGGUGAGUAAUGCAUGGGAAUCUGCCUGGUAGUGGGGGACAACGUUUCGAAAGGAACGCUAAUACCGCAUACGCCCUACGGGGGAAAGGGGGGGAUCUUCGGACCUCUCGCUAUCAGAUGAGCCCAUGUCAGAUUAGCUUGUUGGUGAGGUAAAGGCUCACCAAGGCGACGAUCUGUAACUGGUCUGAGAGGAUGAUCAGUCACACUGGAACUGAGACACGGUCCAGACUCCUACGGGAGGCAGCAGUGGGGAAUAUUGGACAAUGGGCGAAAGCCUGAUCCAGCCAUGCCGCGUGUGUGAAGAAGGCCUUAGGGUUGUAAAGCACUUUCAGUGGGGAGAAAGGUAAUUCACCUAAUACGUGAGUUAAUUGAUGUUACCCACAGAAGAAGCACCGGCUAACUCCGUGCCAGCAGCCGCAGUAA